UACGGGAGGCAGCAGUGGGGAAUAUUGCACAAUGGGCGCAAGCCUGAUGCAGCCAUGCCGCGUGUAUGAAGAAGGCCUUCGGGUUGUAAAGUACUUUCAGCGGGGAGGAAGGUGUUGUGGUUAAUAACCACAGCAAUUGACGUUACCCGCAGAAGAAGCACCGGCUAACUCCGUGCCAGCAGCCGCGGUAAUAAU
rnacentral:rRNA from 1 species